rnacentral:rRNA from 1 species
AUGAACCUCGUCGGCGCGGACCUCAUGGAUGACAAGACGCGAGACCUCUUCGUCGUCGGCGGCACUGGCGAUUUCUUCAUGCCGCGCGGCUUCGCCACACUCCGGCUCGAUGCAUCUGAGGGAACCGUCUACUUCCGUCUGCAGAUGGACAUCAAGCUCUACGAGUGCUACGUCUGA